ACUUCUGCCUGCACAACGCAGUCUUCAAAGGACAGUGUGUUGGAGGUAGGUUAGCAACGACAAAAGCAACGUCAAAGAGAGCCUGACUUUCCCAUGUACCCAGCAUCCCUGCUGGCCCAGCAGAUACGGUAAACAACAACUAUAGCCCCUAGGUCUUCUAGGCAUAGCACCCCCAUCCCAAGACCUCCAAACCUGUUUUCCAAGCAUCUGGGGCUUGUAGAUCUGAGGUUCUCACAGCCCAAGUGGCAAAGGCAACAAACACCAGGCACAUGUCGUUUUGACUGAACGUAAAUGAAGUGAGGGGGCUCCGUAGUUCCCCUAAGAAAGAAGGACAUUAGAUGCUCCUCUCUGAGACAUGCCUCCCAUAGAAGACCACCUGUCCCAGACAAAUCUUUGGAGUCAGAUCUUCCCCAUGGCUUCUCUUACUUAAGACACUGGGUAGCCUGUGAGAGUUGAGUCAGAACAACUAGGGAGAUUUGCCCUUUGGGUCUUCUGCUCUCUGGCCUGUGACAUGGGUCAUAGAGGAGAAAGAGAUCUUUUUCUCACACUGCCUCAAGCAGCAUGGCCUGAGUGUGAGUGGGCCUCUAGUGCCAGGCCCUUAAAAGCUAGAGGAAAGUCCCUGAUGGCAUCUAGGACAGUGGUCAGUGACAAGGCCCAAACCCCUGAAGUGUCUGGCUUGAGCUGCCCAAUCUUAAAUGUUUCCUGGGAUAGCGUGGGAGAUUAUUCUUCCUUCGUGUAGAUCCCAGAGCAUGAAAGAGCACACGUACGUACAAGCAGAUGGUCAGGGUCAUCCCCUGCCCCUCCACCGUAUCCUCUUACCCUACUCUAGCCUCUCCCUGGACAAUGUGUUUCAAGGACCUGAUAAACACCUACCUGCCUUCCUGACUGUU
rnacentral:lncRNA from 1 species